GGAUGGGGCAAAGGGCUGCGAGACCGCGAGGUUUANCCAAUCCCAUNAAACCAUUCUCAGUUCGGAUUGUAGNCUGCAACUCGCCUACAUGAAGCCGGAAUCGCUAGUAAUCGUGGAUCAGCAUGCCNCGGUGAAUACGUUCCCGGGUCUUGUACACACCGCCCGUCACACCACGAGAGUUUGUAACACCCGAAGUCGGUGGGGUAACCGCAAGGAGCCAACCGCCUAAGGUGGGACAGAUGAUUGGGGUGAAGUCGUAACAAGGUAUCC
rnacentral:rRNA from 1 species